AUUGCUCUCCCUCAAGGUCUGAAAGAAGGAUGAUGAAAAGUUUAAGCAAUCACCAUGGAAACGUAGAGGAGAUACAAGGCGGGUUCAGAUCCCAGCACACUAACAGAUCAGUCUUCAGGUGCUGAGGUCCUGGUGGAAGGUGAAUUCUGACUAUUCACUGUGGCUUCCAGAAUCAGGGCUGACCCAGAGGCCACAUCCACAGUCAUGGGCUCAGAGCAUCCCAGGGGCUCAGCAGUGAGUUUCCUCAGCAUGGCAGAAGCCCACAGAUCUGCUGUCACAAAGUGGAACCCUGCUCAGGUCUGCAGGAGAAAAGACAUUCGAAGCCCAGCCUGGUCUUUCUCUGGUCUUGACCAAGAUGUGUUCCCUUUCAUGUCUGUGAAUAACCAAAAGAAGCAAGAGGUUCCUGCCUCCCAUCACUGA
rnacentral:lncRNA from 1 species